rnacentral:rRNA from 1 species
UACGUAGGGCGCAAGCGUUAUCCGGAAUUAUUGGGCGUAAAGAGCUCGUAGGCGGUUUGUCGCGUCUGCCGUGAAAGUCCGGGGCUCAACUCCGGAUCUGCGGUGGGUACGGGCAGGCUAGAGUGAUGUAGGGGAGACUGGAAUUCCUGGUGUAGCGGUGAAAUGCGCAGAUAUCAGGAGGAACACCGGUGGCGAAGGCAGGUCUCUGGGCAUUAACUGACGCUGAGGAGCGAAAGCAUGGGGAGCGAACAGG